AUUGAACGCCGGCGGCAUGCCUUACACAUGCAAGUCGAACGGUAACAGGUCUUCGGAUGCUGACGAGUGGCGAACGGGUGAGUAAUACAUCGGAACGUGCCUAGUAGUGGGGGAUAACUACUCGAAAGAGUGGCUAAUACCGCAUGAGAUCUACGGAUGAAAGCAGGGGAUCGCAAGACCUUGUGCUACUAGAGCGGCCGAUGGCAGAUUAGGUAGUUGGUGGGAUAAAAGAUUACCAAGCCGACGAUCUGUAGCUGGUCUGAGAGGACGAUCAGCCACACUGGGACUGAGACACGGCCCAGACUCCUACGGGAGGCAGCAGUGGGGAAUUUUGGACAAUGGGCGCAAGCCUGAUCCAGCAAUGCCGCGUGCAGGAUGAAGGCCUUCGGGUUGUAAACUGCUUUUGUACGGAACGAAAAGCCCCGGGUUAAUACCCUGGGGUCAUGACGGUACCGUAAGAAUAAGCACCGGCUAACUACGUGCCAGCCGCCGCGGUAACAC
rnacentral:rRNA from 1 species